rnacentral:rRNA from 1 species
AACCUGCCCACUGAUUUAUUAAAUGGCCGCAGUAUAUUAACUGUGCAAAGGUAGCAUAAUCAUUAGUCUUUUAAUUGGAGGCUUGUAUGAAUGGUUGGACGAAAUAUUAACUGUUUCAUAAAAAAUUAUAUUAAAAUUUUAUUUUUUAGUAAAAAAGCUAAAAUUUAUUUAAAAGACGAGAAGACCCUAUAAAUCUUUAUAUUAAAAUUAUUAUAAUUUUAUAGAUUAAUUUUAUUAUAAUAAUAAAUUAUAUUUUAUUGGGGUGAUAUUAAAAUUUAAUUAACUUUUAAUUUUGUUAUACAUUAAUUUAUGAAUUAUUGAUCCAUUAUUAAUGAUUAAAAAAAUAAGUUACUUUAGGGAUAACAGCGUAAUUUUUUUGGAGAGUUCAUAUCGAUAAAAAAGAUUGCGACCUCGAUGUUGGAUUAAGAUAUAAUUUUAGGUGUAGCCGCUUAAAUUUUAAGUCUGUUCGACUUUUAAAUUCUUACAUGAUCUGAGUUCAAACCGGUGUAAGCCAGGUUGGUUUCUAUCUUUAGAAA